UCCCUGGUGGUCCAGUGGGUAAGACUCUGUUUUUCCAAUGCAGGUCCAUGGGUUCAAUCCCUGGUCAGGGAA
rnacentral:tRNA from 1 species